rnacentral:rRNA from 1 species
GACGGAGGGCGCGAGCGUUGUUCGGAAUUACUGGGCGUAAAGCGCGCGCAGGCGGGUGCGCAAGUCGGAGGUGAAAGCGCAGGGCUCAACCCUGCGACGCCCUCCGAGACUGCGUGUCUGGGGACCGGUAGAGGUGAGUGGAAUUCCCGGUGUAGCGGUGGAAUGCGUAGAUAUCGGGAAGAACACCGGAGGCGAAGGCGGCUCACUGGGCCGGAUCCGACGCUGAGGCGCGAAAGCGUGGGGAGCAAACAGGAUUAGAAACCCCAGUAGUCC